rnacentral:rRNA from 1 species
GCUAAGUUUGGCGGAGGUAAAGGCUCUCCCAAGGCGACGAUGCGUAGACCGACCUGAGAGGGGUGAUCGGCCACACUGGGGAUUGAGAGCAAGGGCCAGAGUCCUACGCGAGGCAGCAGUAGGGAAUCUUUCGCAAUGGAGCGAGAAGUCUGACGGAGCAACGUCGCGUGAGUGAUGAAGGUUUUCGGAUCGUAAAACUUUGUUUUUAGGGAAGAACAAAUGCAAGAGUAAAUGCUUGCACCUUGACGGUACCUAACCAGAAAGACACGGGUAAAUACGUGCCAGCAGCCGCGGUAAUACGUAGGUGGCAAGCGUUGUCCUGAAUUAUUGGGCGUAAAAGGCUCGCAGGCGGUUUUUUAAGUCUGAUGUGAAAGCCCCCGGCUCAACCGGGGAGGGUCACUUGGAAACUGGGAAACUUGAGUGCAGAAGAGGAGAGUGGAAUUUUCACGUGUAUCGGUGAAAUGCGUAUAGAUGUGGAGGAACACCAGUGGCGAAGGCGCCUCUCUGGUCUGUAACUGACGCUGAGGAGCGAAAGCGUGGGGAGCGAACACGAUUAGAUACCCUGGUAGUGCACGCCGUAAACGAUGAGUCAUAAGUGUUAGGGGGUUUCCUGACGCGCCUUAGUACUGCAGCUAACGCAUUAAACAUUCCGGCCUGGGAUACGGCCCCUCC